rnacentral:rRNA from 1 species
UUUGACCUCGGAUCAUGUAGGAAUACCCGCUGAACUUAAGCAUAUCAAUAAGCGGAGGAAAAGAAACCAACAGGGAUUGCCCCAGUAACGGCGAGUGAAGCGGCAACAGCUCAAAUUUGAAAGCUGGCCUCGGCCCGCAUUGUAAUUUGCAGAGGAUGCUUCUGGCAAGGUGCCUUCCGAGUUCCCUGGAACGGGACGCCAUAGAGGGUGAGAGCCCCGUAUGGAUGGACACCGAGCCUGUGUGAAGCUCCUUCAACGAGUCGAGUAGUUUGGGAAUGCUGCUCAAAAUGGGAGGUAAAUCUCUUCUAAAGCUAAAUACCGGCCAGAGACCGAUAGCGCACAAGUAGAGUGAUCGAAAGAUGAAAAGCACCUUGAAAAGGGGGUUAAACAGUACGUGAAAUUGUUGAAAGGGAAGCGCUUGUGACCAGACUUGCGCCGGGCGGCUCAUCAGGGGUUCUCCCCUGUGCACUCCGCCCGGCUCAGGCCAGCAUCGGUUCUCGUGGGGGGAUAAGAACGGCGGGAACGUGGCCCCCCUCCGGGGGGGUGUUAUAGCCCGCCGUACGAUACCCUCGUGGGGACCGAGGUUCGCGCUCCGCAAGGAUGCUGGCGUAAUGGUCAUCAGCGACCCGUCUUGAAACACGGACCAAGGAGUCGUCCAUUAGAGCGAGCGUUUGGGUGUAAAACCCGCACGCGUAAUGAAAGUGAACGCAGGUGAGAGCUUCGGCGCAUCAUCGACCGAUCCUGAUGUCUUCGGAUGGAUUUGAGUAAGAGUUUUAACGGACGGACCCGAAAGACAGUGAACUAUGCUUGUAUAGGGUGAAGCCAGAGGAAACUCUGGUGGAGGCUCGCAGCGGUUCUGACGUGCAAAUCGAUCGUCAAAUAUGAGCAUGGGGGCGAAAGACUAAUCGAACUGUCUAGUAGCUGGUUACCGC